AAGAGUUUUGCAUGUAGUCAAUUCCGCUGCAAUUUCUGAGUUGGAUUCUACAGAAAGUUCCAGAAUGUCUUCCUCUGACAUGUCCUGUUCAGCUGCAUCCUGUGUCGUCUGUUGCUCCUUCAUAUGGGAACUGAUUGGCACAUCACUUCAUACCAUUGCCUGCAUCAGGGUUGCCACUGUUUUUUGGUCUUUCGUUAUUGUGCAACUCCAACUGAACUUUUGUAAUGGUCUCCUGCUGAAAACUCCAGAGCAUCAUCAUGUGCUGCAGCAGAGAGGGCUAGCAGUAUUGAGGACCAUGCCGACACACUGACAAGGCUGCGGCAACAAGCUGUUGAGUACAGAUCUAUCUUGCAGUACAUAGCGGAAUUAAUAAGGAUUACAUUCUUUACUGCCAAGAGAUACACUGUUUUCAGUGUUUACCAAAUAAAUAAAGUUUGUCAUACUCGUAUUGAUCCACAGGAUAUGUAUUAAUAAAGCACUGUGUCAUGUCACUGUAAUAAAGAUUUAUACCACAAA